UCCCGGGUAGGGGAUAAGUGAAAUUUUGGAACUCUGAGAUUUCUCUUACUCAGAUUCGGAAGACGGGAAAUGUUUGAUCGGAGGGGGGUUUUGUUUCUAGAAAACUUAAUUGAUAUUGUCUAAAAGAGGGAUGUGAAUUCCCAGAGUGAUGUAGAAGAUUGUUGAUUCGAAAACAGAAAAGAGAGCUUCAAUGGAAGAUUAGUAUUCAGCUGUUGUUGAUUUACAAGGGGAAUCUAAUGGAAUGUUGUGGUAGCUCUGGUGUAUAUAUCAAAUGGUCCCCAAGAGUAUCCUGAAAGUGUUAUUUUACUGUUAAUAAGAGGGUCAUGACACAAGAAGCUGUUCAUGAUAUCCGGAAGUUGCUAAGGAAUUUUUAACCAGUAAUUUAACGUUUCAAGAGGCUUACGACAUGACGGGUAGAGCCUCCCAGAUGUCUUAACUACUUAGCAUCUCCCCAUGUUGUUAAAUGGAGUGUCAUGACUGCUUCUUGCGCGUUUCCUGGGUCGUUCGAGGGCUCAAGAAUUGAUGGCCAGAGAUAGAAGUAGUGAAAUUGUUCCUUAUCAUCCUCCUUACACCUAGGACCCGAUGAGCCUUCGAGCCUUACUGUUAGAAAGUGGAGGGAUGGUAGUUUGUAAAGCGAUUUACCCAUGAUACAGAUCAAGGAAUUGUUUAAUGUCAAUCAUUUCAUUGUUAGUCAGGCCAACCCUUCUAUUGCACCAUUCUUGAGGCUGAAAAGAGAUUGUGAGAGCUUAUAGAGGAAAUUGCGCUGCUAAGCUUGCUCAUCUAGCUGAGAUGGAGGUUAAGCAUAGUUGUCAUCAGCUAUUGGAACUUGGAUUUCCUUUGGGUUGCUUGGCUAAAGUUUUUGGGGUUUUCGCACAAGAUUGGGAGGGUGAUGUCACUGUUGUUAUGCCUGCCACACUUGCUCAGUAUACAGAACCCAUCUCAGGUCGAGCUUCAAGAAGCUGCCAACCAAGGCAGGAGAUGCACAUGAGGGGAACUUUCUGCCAUUAGAAGGAACUGCAGUGUUGAGCUUGCUCUAGACGGAUCUGUUGGCCUUCUCAACCACAUGUGGAGGCUCAAAAAGAGUGCCAAGAGAACCGCUGCUUAACAAGGACACAGUCUAGAGAGGGUGGUGGGUCCACAGUUAUUUAGGUUUCAUGGAGGCGAGUGAAUUUUUUUUAAAAGUUAUCUAUGAAGACCAAAGUCUAGAAGAUUGUCAAGAUACUGACAUGCUUGAUUCAGAGACUUUAGAAGAAGAGGAGUGUAAUUGGAAGUUUGCAAUUGACCGAAACUAGCAAGUCUGACUCUGAGGAAGGAGAGUGCACAGGGAAGAUUGGAUUGGAGACUUAGGAUUGACAGAAAUGGGAAGCAGGGGUGACGUUACAGUGAAUCAAGCAUCUAACAGCAAAACCCGCAAGCGCCAGGCAAAGAAGAAACAUAAAAACAAGAAGACUGGUCCUGCCCCAGUUAUCAAAAACAUGAAUAAGUUCGUUAUUGAUACUUGUGAACACUUCUGGAUUGCAUAAUGCUGCCAUAUUUUCAAAAUUUGACUUAAAGUCAGGAAGUUGCCAAAUUCAAAUCGCCGAAAAAGAUAAGUAUAAAGCUGCAUUCACGGUCCCUUUUGGGCAUUAUGAAUGGAAUGUCAUGUCAUGUCAACAUAUUAUGAAUAACAUAUUUAAUUCUUAUUCAACUUUUACAAUUGUAUAAAUUGAUGAUGUAUUAAAGUAUUCCGAAUCAAU